CACAACAAGACUAGUACAGUCUAAAGUAAAAUACCUGAUGGAACAAAGUUUCGCUUAUCAAUAUGAUUCUAGUGGGGUGCAAGAACAAGAAUAUCAUAUGACAGCGGUACACAGACCUCCAUAAUGCUUUUAACAUGAUAUUCCCCAGCCCAACAUCCCACAAAAUAUGACAUAAUCGCUAAGAAUGUAAAUGUAUGACUGUAUGAGCAGUAGGCCAGUAACAAUAAAUGCGUGUCAAAAAGGUUGGUAUGAGAAAAUGAAGGAAACCAGAAUACCGUAAGGAAGUUGCCGGUGUUCUGCCCAUCAGCCCGGUGAUAGUUGUUGGUUUGGCUGGUGACCCCUGCAGCAACCUGCUUAGUCACAUCAGGCUUGGGAGGAGCUGGUUUCCCAGCAGGAGGAGCACAUGCGGCUGGUGCAGCUGGUGCCACUGCUGGCUUUGGGGCCUCAUCAUUUCCAAAGAGGUAGCCCAGUUGACUUGAACCACCACCGGCACUACCACCACGACUCAUCUUGAUUGUUGAAAGGAGAAACUGUACAAAGAUGCAAAUCAGGUAUCAGGCAUGAUUCCAAUACACAAUGCGUAAAGAGAAACAUAAGUGCAUCAAUUUAAUCUUCAACACUCCAAGUUAACAUCGACAAUGAUCUGCCAUCGAUGCUUG
rnacentral:lncRNA from 1 species